UAGGGAAUAUUGGACAAUGGGGGGAACCCUGAUCCAGCCAUGCCGCGUGGAGGAAGACUGCCCUCUGGGUUGUAAACUCCUUUUAUAUGGGAAGAACCGUCCUCAUUGAUGAGUGACCUGACGGUACCAUAGGAAUAAGCACCGGCUAACUCCGUGCCAGCAGCCGCGGUAAUACGUAGGGGGCAAGCGUUGUCCGGAUUUACUGGGUGUAAAGGGCGCGCAGGCGGGAUAAAAAGUCAGUGGUGAAAUCCUACAGCUUAACUGUAGAACUGCCUUUGAUACUUUUAUUCUUGAGUUCGGGAGAGAGAGACGGAAUUCCAGGUGUAGUGGUGAAAUACGUAGAUAUCUGGAAGAACACCAGUUGCGAAGGCGGUCUCUUGGUCCGACACUGACGCUGAGGCGCGAAAGCGUGGGGAGCAAACA
rnacentral:rRNA from 1 species